AGAGUUUGAUCCUGGCUCAGGAUGAACGCUAGCGGCAGGCCUAACACAUGCAAGUCGAGGGGUAACAGUUCCAAGCAAUUGGAAGCUGACGACCGGCGCACGGGUGCGUAACGCGUAUGCAACCUACCUUUAACUGGGGGAUAGCCCGGAGAAAUCCGGAUUAAUACCCCAUAAAAUUCCGAAUGGGCAUCCAUUUUGAAUUAAAGCUUCGGCGGUUUUAGAUGGGCAUGCGUGGCAUUAGUUAGUUGGUGAGGUAACGGCUCACCAAGACAAUGAUGCCUAGGGGUUCUGAGAGGAUUUUCCCCCACACUGGUACUGAGACACGGACCAGACUCCUACGGGAGGCAGCAGUGAGGAAUAUUGGUCAAUGGACGCAAGUCUGAACCAGCCAUGCCGCGUGCAGGAUGACGGCCCUAUGGGUUGUAAACUGCUUUUAUAUGGGAAGAAACCUUUCUACGUGUAGAGAGCUGACGGUACCAUACGAAUAAGGACCGGCUAACUCCGUGCCAGCAGCCGCGGUAAUACGGAGGGUCCAAGCGUUAUCCGGAUUUAUUGGGUUUAAAGGGUGCGCAGGCGGAUUUGUAAGUCAGUGGUGAAAUCCCCCGGCUCAACCGGGGAACUGCCAUUGAUACUGCUAAUCUAGAGUACAGUUGAAGUAGGCGGAAUGUAGCAUGUAGCGGUGAAAUGCAUAGAGAUGCUACAGAACACCGAUUGCGAAGGCAGCUUACUAAGCUGUAACUGACGCUCAGGCACGAAAGCGUGGGGAGCAAACAGGAUUAGAUACCCUGGUAGUCCACGCCGUAAACUAUGAUUACUCGUUGUUGGCAAUAUAUCGUCAGCGACUGAACGAAAGUAUUAAGUAAUCCACCUGGGAAGUACGAUCGCAAGGUUGAAACUCAAAGGAAUUGACGGGGGCCCGCACAAGCGGUGGAGCAUGUGGUUUAAUUCGAUGAUACGCGAGGAACCUUACCUGGGCUUAAAUGUUAGACGACAGUUUCGGAAACGAAAUUUUCCUUCGGGACGUCUUACAAGGUGCUGCAUGGUUGUCGUCAGCUCGUGCCGUGAGGUGUCGGGUUAAGUCCCAUAACGAGCGCAACCCCUAUUCUUAGUUGCCAUCAGGUCAUGCUGGGGACUCUAAGAAAACUGCCUACGCAAGUAGUGAGGAAGGUGGGGAUGACGUCAAAUCAGCACGGCCCUUAUGUCCAGGGCUACACACGUGCUACAAUGGCCGGUACAGGGGGUCGCUACCUGGUGACAGGAUGCUAAUCUCGAAAACCGGUCUCAGUUCGGAUCGAAGUCUGCAACUCGACUUCGUGAAGCUGGAAUACCUCC
rnacentral:rRNA from 1 species